UUGUAGGGCUUCAGCCCUGUUGAGAUAACACCCUUGCCUUUUUGAGUACUGUCUGUUUCCUCAGCAGGCCCGCCUGCCAAUAGGGACAACCAAAACGCCCUGAAGCACCUGUAACUUGUCUGAUAAAACAAACAAAAUCA
rnacentral:misc_RNA from 1 species